rnacentral:rRNA from 1 species
CAGUCGCCGCGGUAAUACGGAGGGUGCAAGCGUUAAUCGGAAUUACUGGGCGUAAAGCGCACGCAGGCGGUCUGUUAAGUUAGAUGUGAAAGCCCCGGGCUUAACCUGGGAAUUGCAUUUGAAACUGGCAAGCUAGAGUCUUGUAGAGGGGGGUAGAAUUCCAGGUGUAGCGGUGAAAUGCGUAGAGAUCUGGAGGAAUACCGAUGGCGAAGGCAGCCAUCUGGACAAAUACUGACGCUCAGGUGCGAAAGCGUGGGGAGCAAACAGGAUUAGAGACCCCAGUAGUCCCUGUCUCUUAUAC